AGAGUUUGAUCCUUGCUCAGAUUGAACGCUGGCGGCAGGCCUAACACAUGCAAGUCGAGCGGUAGAGAGGAGCUUGCUCCUCUUGAGAGCGGCGGACGGGUGAGUAAUGCCUAGGAAUCUGCCUGGUAGUGGGGGAUAACGUUCGGAAACGGACGCUAAUACCGCAUACGUCCUACGGGAGAAAGCAGGGGACCUUCGGGCCUUGCGCUAUCAGAUGAGCCUAGGUCGGAUUAGCUAGUUGGUGAGGUAAUGGCUCACCAAGGCGACGAUCCGUAACUGGUCUGAGAGGAUGAUCAGUCACACUGGAACUGAGACACGGUCCAGACUCCUACGGGAGGCAGCAGUGGGGAAUAUUGGACAAUGGGCGAAAGCCUGAUCCAGCCAUGCCGCGUGUGUGAAGAAGGUCUUCGGAUUGUAAAGCACUUUAAGUCGGGAGGAAGGGCAGUAAAUUAAUACUUUGCUGUUUUGACGUUACCGACAGAAUAAGCACCGGCUAACUCUGUGCCAGCAGCCGCGGUAAUACAGAGGGUGCAAGCGUUAAUCGGAAUUACUGGGCGUAAAGCGCGCGUAGGUGGUUUGUUAAGUUGGAUGUGAAAUCCCCGGGCUCAACCUGGGAACUGCAUUCAAAACUGACUGACUAGAGUAUGGUAGAGGGUGGUGGAAUUUCCUGUGUAGCGGUGAAAUGCGUAGAUAUAGGAAGGAACACCAGUGGCGAAGGCGACCACCUGGACUAAUACUGACACUGAGGUGCGAAAGCGUGAGGAGCAAACAGGAUUAGAUACCCUGGUAGUCCACGCCGUAAACGAUGUCAACUAGCCGUUGGAAGCCUUGAGCUUUUAGUGGCGCAGCUAACGCAUUAAGUUGACCGCCUGGGGAGUACGGCCGCAAGGUUAAAACUCAAAUGAAUUGACGGGGGCCCGCACAAGCGGUGGAGCAUGUGGUUUAAUUCGAAGCAACGCGAAGAACCUUACCAGGCCUUGACAUCCAAUGAACUUUCUAGAGAUAGAUUGGUGCCUUCGGGAGCAUUGAGACAGGUGCUGCAUGGCUGUCGUCAGCUCGUGUCGUGAGAUGUUGGGUUAAGUCCCGUAACGAGCGCAACCCUUGUCCUUAGUUACCAGCACGUAAUGGUGGGCACUCUAAGGAGACUGCCGGUGACAAACCGGAGGAAGGUGGGGAUGACGUCAAGUCAUCAUGGCCCUUACGGCCUGGGCUACACACGUGCUACAAUGGUCGGUACAGAGGGUUGCCAAGCCGCGAGGUGGAGCUAAUCCCACAAAACCGAUCGUAGUCCGGAUCGCAGUCUGCAACUCGACUGCGUGAAGUCGGAAUCGCUAGUAAUCGCGAAUCAGAAUGUCGCGGUGAAUACGUUCCCGGGCCUUGCACACACCGCCCGUC
rnacentral:rRNA from 1 species